rnacentral:rRNA from 1 species
AGAGUUUGAUCCUGGCUCAGAAUGAACGCUGGCGGCGUGCUUAACACAUGCAAGUCGUACGAGAAAUCUUUAGCUUGCUAGAGAGAGUAAAGUGGCGCACGGGUGAGUAACGCGUGGGUAAUCUACCCUUGAAUCGGGGAUAACAUUGCGAAAGCGAUGCUAAUACCGGAUAACAUCAUAAGAACUUCGGUUUUAAUGAUCAAAGAUGACCUCUAUAUAUAAGUUAUUGUUUGGGGAGGAGCCCGCGUACCAUUAGCUAGUUGGUAGGGUAAAGGCCUACCAAGGCCACGAUGGUUAGCUGGUCUGAGAGGAUGAUCAGCCACACUGGAACUGACACACGGUCCAGACUCCUACGGGAGGCAGCAGUGAGGAAUUUUGCGCAAUGGGGGAAACCCUGACGCAGCAACGCCGCGUGAGUGAUGAAGGCUUUAGGGUCGUAAAGCUCUGUCAAGUGGGAAGAACCUAUCCGGGAAUAAUACGUCCGGGUACUGACGGUACCACUGAAGGAAGCACCGGCUAACUCCGUGCCAGCAGCCGCGGUAAUACGGGGGGUGCAAGCGUUAUUCGGAAUCAUUGGGCGUAAGGGGCACGCAGGCGGCCUGGUAAGUCAGAUGUGAAAGCCCGGGGCUUAA